AGUACACUCUGCAGAAUCAUAGGUGUUAGAAAACCUCUCCUCCAGCUCCCUCCUGAUUCUUCAAGGUAGUUGUGCCUGUGCUGACAAUUCUUCCUUGGGGAUACAGAGAGGCUCUUUCUAUGAAACUAGUGCCCAUCACAAACAGGAUGGAACUGAGCACCCACCACACGUCCAGAACACAUGUCACCGUUUCGCGACUACAUGGAAACCUGACCGCUAGCACUGAUCCAAUCUAUAGGAGUCUGUGUAAAUAGCAGCUGUGCAGCUGGACUCUGCCUCCACUCCUCAGAAAGUCGAUGUUCUCGCUAGCCCAGAUUGGAUUUCUGCAUAUAAUCUCCAUGCCUUGCAUGCUGUGAUAUAUCUUUAUACUCAAAGAAUUGUACACUUUUCAUUUUGAACAUGAAAUAACAUCCAGACUCUCACUGGAAGACUCCUGGCCGACUAGAGCACCACCUGUUCUUGAUAUUUUUUCACCCAAUUAAGCAUUUAAAUUGUUUCUCAUCUAAACUGGAUUUGCUUUUAUUAUUUUUUCCUUGCCAUUUUUCUUUGCCACAGCCAUCAACAAUACCUAGCAAACAACUGCUUAAUGUGCUACGGAAACAAAAGUGCGGUUGUGCGGAAGUGGAAACGAGAGGGGAUGGGGUGGAGCGGAGAGAAGGCGAGCUGGAACCCGGGGCUGACUUGCAUCAGGGGACCUUGGUCAGGUGAUAUUCUCCUACGAAAGAAAGACUCCCACUGGCCUUCUCCCGUGGCUUUACCAACCACACUGGCAUAUCCUCUGUCAUACCUGCCACUGAGCCGUAUCUUAAACAAUAUGGCACGGAUGUAA
rnacentral:lncRNA from 1 species